rnacentral:tRNA from 1 species
GUGUGCGUAAUUUAAAUAAAAUAUCAAGGUUGUGACCCUGACAAUAGGAAAUAUCCUCACACAC